AGGCAGCAGGAGGGGAGGCGUGCGCGGCGGAAGGGGACGCGGAGCGGACUCGGGUGCGCGAAGGCUCCUCUCUCACUCGCGCAGCCGCUACCUCGGUUGCAAGCCCACGAGGCCUCCGCGUCUUGCCCUCGGAACAAUGGGACUCGGCUCGCGAGGUUUCUUGGCGGUGCUGGCCCUAGGGGCCGUGCUGGCGAUAGCGCUGCUGAAGAUUGUCAAAGUUCUUGCAAGUCUUAGGCCGAAGGCACGGGACCGACCUGGAGGUGCACUGAUGAGGCUGGGGGAAACUGAGUCUCGGGCCGGUCUCCCACCUGCCCCGGGGCCGCCCCUUCUCUGCAAGCCGCGGUCGCAGGCCUGGAGGAAUGAGGAUAACCUGUUGAGUUGCCGACGGACGGGCCUUCAGCGAAGGGUUCAAGUUAGUUGUUAUAGUCUUUCCCUGAAGUUAAUGUUUCCUAAGAGGUUAGAGUUUAUCUAAAGCUUCCUUUGGUAAAAGAUUUGGUGGAUUGAAAAAUAUGUCUGCUGAUUCCCUAGCAAACAUGUCUACCAGUUUAUUGCGGAACCUUUCUGCCGUUUUCUGGCGUUUCAUCAUCUAUCUGUGUAGUAUCAAACAUGAUUCAUAGUCUUAAGGACCCCAGACGCUUAAAUUUAAGACUUUGGGGCUAAUGUAGCUGGUUGGGAGCCUUUGGGAAGUGCGCCCUGCUCUCCAGGGCGCAGGUGAUGCUUAUGCCCACAUAGAUGGGCGCUUCCAGCCCUUCCUGUACCGUAAACACCGGCCGUGCCGCCUAUCAGCUGUGAAGCGUUAAGAUCACGAUUGUUAGAGUCCACACCGUUAUGAGUAAAGACAAAACAAAAAACGAUUUUGACAUUUCCCUUCUGGGGCGAGGGGAGGUGACCCUUUAAGCCCUUUGCCCUUUGGGGACUUUAAAAAAUCCUUUUUAUAAAGCUAGGAAAGCCGGAAUUUGCAGUGUAAAUUGUUUUUUCUUUGUCAACUAUUUUAGAAAUCAGGUCGCUGGGUAACGGUCAGUAAACUAGAAUAAGUUACUUUAAGUGGCCCAAGUUUUCCUGGUUUUAAAAUCUACUCGCUGUAUAUUUAGCUUUAUAUUCGCUUUAUCCAGCGAGAGAUGAAGACAGCAGUUUGCAAACCAGACAGUUCAGGCACAGCACCUGCUUUUGCUAGAAUAAUCUGGAUGAAUAACAAUUUUUGUUUGUUUUGCUGUUUUUUUUUUUCUUUUUGUUUGCUGGAAUUGCACAUGUGACCAAUGCUUCGUAGAUUUCAUUUUGAGAUUAUUAAAGUGGUCAGUAAAAUCAUGUCUAUCAUACUUUAAAUAUUGUGAAAUGUUUUAUUGUAAAGGUGAACUAUCUGAAAUUAAACAGUAUAUCUUGAUGCUAACUUUAUACCAGUAUUUAUGUGGGUAGGUCUCCAUUUUUUUCUUUGUUGCUUUGUGAAAGUAAACCUUUUUUGUGUGUUUUUCUAAAGAAACUGAGUGCCUUUGUUUUUCUUUUGCCCUCAUAACACAGAUUUUUUUUGCCCUAUUUUAUUUUUAUUUAGUUAUUUUUUUGGCCACACCAACUGCACAUGUAAAGUCCCAGGCCAGGGAUAGAACCUGCGCCACAGCUGGGACAGUGCUGGAUUCUUAACCCAGUGCACCCAAGAGAACUUUCUUGCCCUGUUUUAAUACUCACCCUUUGUUCUGUUUAUAUGUCUCACUAGAGUUAAUGGUAUAAGCUCUUCUAUAUGAGAGCCUUGAUUUCAUGUACUAGUAUAACCAAGGUGAGCUGGAAUCCAUUUCUCCAAACGGUAAUGUCACCUUAAAACUAGCGUAAAAGAAGGUUCUUACAGAGGAUAUCUCAAAAGAGCAAUAAAUGCUGUCCCAACCUUUAUAUGCAGUGUGUAAUCUGUAUAAAGUGUCAUUAUGAAGUGUAGUGAUUUUUAUCAUACUAGAACUUGUAUGGCUCAUUUUUACUAGACACUUCGCCUUUGCUCCUCGUACUGUGCUGAUUGAGGUCCAUACAUCAUCCCACUGGAUGAGGAAAUGAAGGCUUAGAAGUUAACCUAGCUUGUUCAGAGUAAAACAGCUAAUACAUAUUUGAUUUCAGAGACCAGAAUCCAAACUCUCAAUUAAUUAACCAUUUUGUCCCUAAGCUACAUAAAGCUACAUUAGGUGAUGUUGGCUCUUCAAGUAGAUAAUACUUAUAUCCACAAUACUGCUGGAACAUUGUGGGAAAACAUAAAAACAUUAUUGAAAUUCUUCUUUUAAAAUAUCCUUCACAGGAGUUCUGUGGUAGCACAGUGGGUUAAGAAUCUGACUACAGCUGGUGUGGGUCACUGUGGAAGCUUGGGUUCAAUCCCCACUCAGUGCAGUGGGUUAAAGCAUCUGGCAUUGCUUCAGCUGUGGCAUAGGUCAUAGUUGCAGUUGGGAUUCAAUCCCUGGCCCAGGAACUGCCAUACGCCACAGGUGCAGCCAUUAAUACCUACAUAUCCUUGACAGUCUAGCUGCAUUGUUUCACAAUUCAGAUGAAGGAGGGUGGGGAUACUAUGAACAAGUUAGCAAGCCAGCAAACAGGAUAGAUUGUGGUAGUGCAAUGAAAGAUAUAAGGUAAUGGGAAGAGGAGGUUAUUAAUCAGGACUGUUGGUGGCAAGUGACAGAAACCCACCUUAAAUAACCUGAGGAGAAAGGGUUUUCCUUUUGACCCUUUAACUAAAAAGUCCAAGGACUAAGAUAACUUCAGAAAUGCUGCUUUCUAGAGUUCAGAUAGCUUGCUAAGGGUUGGCUACUUCUGACUCUCUUGAUUACAUCUGUCAAAUCUUAGGCAAGCCCUAGUUAAAGUGUUCUUAACCCGCAGGGGGAAUCCACAUAACUGGGACCUUCUAAAGUGAUUCCCAGGCUUCAGAAACCACCAUAAUCGGUGGCCAAUGAGGAGAUGAAGUUAAUUUUUAGUGAGUCUUUGCCACUUCAUGAACCUGAGUUUCUUUUCUUCCAUUUAGUGCAGUAUUCUAUUUUAAUACUUGGUCUUUUUGUCAAGUAAAGCAUCAGCCUCCUUGCACUUAGAUGGUCCAGGACAUAAAAAUAGUGCCUGCCCAUAGUAGGUGCUUCAUAAGUAUUUAUUGAGAAAAGAAAAAAAAAAAGUCCUAGAGCUAGAAAGAGUUUAGAAAAGAGCUUAGAAGUGCUUCUGCCUUCUUCCUC
ensembl:lncRNA